UCGCGCCUACCAUGCAAGUCGGACGGUAGCACAGAGGAGCUUGCUCCUCGGGUGACGAGUGGCGGACGGGUGAGUAAUGUCUGGGGAUCUGCCCGAUAGAGGGGGAUAACCACUGGAAACGGUGGCUAAUACCGCAUAACGUCGCAAGACCAAAGAGGGGGACCUUCGGGCCUCUCACUAUCGGAUGAACCCAGAUGGGAUUAGCUAGUAGGCGGGGUAACGGCCCACCUAGGCGACGAUCCCUAGCUGGUCUGAGAGGAUGACCAGCCACACUGGAACUGAGACACGGUCCAGACUCCUACGGGAGGCAGCAGUGGGGAAUAUUGCACAAUGGGCGCAAGCCUGAUGCAGCCAUGCCGCGUGUAUGAAGAAGGCCUUCGGGUUGUAAAGUACUUUCAGCGGGGAGGAAGGCGAUAAGGUUAAUAACCUUGUCGAUUGACGUUACCCGCAGAAGAAGCACCGGCUAACUCCGUGCCAGCAGCCGCGGUAAUACGGAGGGUGCAAGCGUUAAUCGGAAUUACUGGGCGUAAAGCGCACGCAGGCGGUCUGUUAAGUCAGAUGUGAAAUCCCCGGGCUUAACCUGGGAACUGCAUUUGAAACUGGCAGGCUUGAGUCUCGUAGAGGGGGGUAGAAUUCCAGGUGUAGCGGUGAAAUGCGUAGAGAUCUGGAGGAAUACCGGUGGCGAAGGCGGCCCCCUGGACGAAGACUGACGCUCAGGUGCGAAAGCGUGGGGGAGCAAACAGGAUUAGAUACCCUGGUAGUCCACGCCGUAAACGAUGUCGACUUGGAGGUUGUUCCCUUGAGGAGUGGCUUCCGGAGCUAACGCGUUAAGUCGACCGCCUGGGGGAGUACGGCCGCAAGGUUAAAACUCAAAUGAAUUGACGGGGGCCCGCACAAGCGGUGGAGCAUGUGGUUUAAUUCGAUGCAACGCGAAGAAUCUUACCUACUCUUGACAUCCACGGGAAUUC
rnacentral:rRNA from 1 species